rnacentral:rRNA from 1 species
UACGUAGGGUGCGAGCGUUAAUCGGAAUUACUGGGCGUAAAGCGUGCGUAGGUGGUUCGUUAAGUCUGUCGUGAAAGCCCCGGGCUCAACCUGGGAAUGGCGAUGGAUACUGGCGGGCUAGAGUGCGGUAGAGGAGACUGGAAUUCCUGGUGUAGCGGUGAAAUGCGCAGAAUAUCAGGAGGAACACCGGUGGCGAAGGCGG